GACGAACGCUGGCGGCGUGCUUAACACAUGCAAGUCGAACGGAAAGGCCUUUUCGGAGGUACUCGAGUGGCGAACGGGUGAGUAACACGUGGGUGAACUGCCCUGCACUCUGGGAUAAGCCUGGGAAACUGGGUCUAAUACCGGAUAGGACCGCACUUUAGUGUGUGUGGAGGAAAGUGUUGUCGGUGUAGGAUGAGCCCGCGGCCUAUCAGCUUGUUGGUGGGGUAAUGGCCUACCAAGGCGGCGACGGGUAGCCGGACUGAGAGGUUGGUCGGCCACAUUGGGACUGAGAGACGGCCCAGACUCCUACGGGAGGCAGCAGUGGGGAAUAUUGCACAAUGGGCGCAAGCCUGAUGCAGCGACGCCGCGUGGGGGAUGACGGCCUUCGGGUUGUAAACUCCGUUCGCCAGGGACGAAGCGUUUUGUGACGGUACCUGGAGAAGAAGCACCGGCUAACUACGUG
rnacentral:rRNA from 1 species